rnacentral:rRNA from 1 species
CCUACGGGAGGCAGCAGUGGGGAAUAUUGCACAAUGGGGGAAACCCUGAUGCAGCGACGCCGCGUGAGUGAAGAAGUAUUUCGGUAUGUAAAGCUCUAUCAGCAGGGAAGAAAAAAGACGGUACCUGACUAAGAAGCCCCGGCUAACUACGUGCCAGCAGCCGCGGUAAUACGUAGGGGGCAAGCGUUAUCCGGAUUUACUGGGUGUAAAGGGAGCGUAGACGGUAUGGCAAGUCUGAAGUGAAAGCCCGGGGCCCAACCCCGGGACUGCUCUUGGAACUGCGCGGCUGGAGUGCAGGAGGGGCAGGCGGAAUUCCUGGUGUAGCGGUGAAAUGCGUAGAUAUCAGGAGGAACACCGGUGGCGAAGGCGGCCUGCUGGACUGUAACUGACGUUGAGGCUCGAAAGCGUGGGGAGCAAACAGGAUUAGAUACCCUAGUAGUC